AGAACGAACGCUGGCGGCAAGCUUAACACAUGCAAGUCGAGCGGAGCGAGGGUGCUUGCACCUUAGCUUAGCGGCGGACGGGUGAGUAAUGCUUAGGAAUCUGCCUAUUAGUGGGGGACAACAUUCCGAAAGGGAUGCUAAUACCGCACACGCCCUACGGGGGAAAGCAGGGGAUCUUCGGACCUUGCGCUAAUAGAUGAGCCUAGGUCGGAUUAGCUAGUUGGUGGGGUAAAGGCCUACCAAGGCGACGAUCUGUAGCGGGUCUGAGAGGAUGAUCCGCCACACUGGGACUGAGACACGGCCCAGACUCCUACGGGAGGCAGCAGUGGGGAAUAUUGGACAAUGGGGGGAACCCUGAUCCAGCCAUGCCGCGUGUGUGAAGAAGGCCUUUUGGUUGUAAAGCACUUU
rnacentral:rRNA from 1 species